rnacentral:lncRNA from 1 species
GGAAGCGAGGCCCUGGGAACCACUGUCCGGCCAGGCUCCCUGAGCCUCUGGCUCCUGUAAGCCAGAUCUCCAGGCCCAGGCAGGGUCUGAGGGCUGUGGGGUGCAGGACCAGCCCUCCCCUCAGGCUUGUUUCUGAGCUGCCCCACAGUGUGGUGUCGGUCACAGUACCUGACACACCAGCCCCUGGAAAACAGCAGGCGGUGGAACCACUGAGCUACAUUCCCAGCUCAGGAAUUUGUCUUCCUUUCUGAGGCGUCUCCACACUGAUCUCUGCAGUGUUGUACCGCGUACUCCCCCACCCGUGGGGAAGGCCCCUCGCCAGCGCUUGUUACUGCUGGGUUUCUUGAAGAUGGCCCUGCCCUCUGGGGAUGGUGGGACUCGGUGCUGCUUUAAUUUAAUCCCUUAUUCUCAGCGUUGCUGUUUACUCCUUCAAGUCCUGAACUCACACAGGUAGUUUCAAAGUUGCCAACCUUUGUGCCAUGAAAAGAAAACCUACUGGAGUUGAAGCUCAGCACUUUUCCUUUUGGGGAGAGGUGGGCAGGCAGGGAGAGGCGGGGCUGAGUGAGUCUGUGGCACAGAUGCCCACACCGCCCACCGGGCCUCCGCUCUUCGGCCCUGCCACGAAGCCCUGCGUCUGCGUUUCCAGCCCUCCCUGCUGUCGGGCUCAGCCAGGGAGCUGUUGGCAGCCCCUUUAUCAGGAGGUGGGAAUGCCUGGGGCCCAGGCAAUGGGACAUCAAAUGUCCUUGACGGAGAAAGGGUAAUUUCAUCCAGGUUCCUCAAACACUCGGAAUGGAGCCAGCGUGUGACGCUGCAGUUGGCUUCUGGGUGCUCACAUCCAAGGCUGCGGAGCUGGUGUGGCAAGGAGACACCUACACGCCACGUUCACCACAGCUGAGAAAAACAGUGCACCCAGGCAUGCCCCACCAAUGAGCGUGUGAAGGGACAGUGGACGCGCAUGGCAGCAUGCCGUGAGCCUCACAGAAGAGGGAAACAUGUCCUUUCUGACACACAGGGUCUCGCUAACUUGCUCAGUUGCCCAAGCUGGGCUCAAACUUGCCAUCCUCCUGCCUCUGCCUCCCAGUGCUGGGAUGACAGGCGUGCACCACCACACUUAGUUCCUGCUCUAACUUUUCAACAAAAUCCAUUACACUGUGUAGGAAAAGGUAAAAGAAAACUACGCGAUGGCUUUCUGGAUCUUUGUGUUCUAAACGCUGCCCUAACUUCUUGGAGAAGGCUUGUCGGUCAGUCGGGACUCAAGAAAGCCCUGGGCCUCCCAGGAGGCGCCGCCCCUCCUCGGCCCCAUGCACUGGCCUUGGGAACCCUUCGGGUUGCCCAGACGCGAGGAUGGGGCUCCUCCUCCUCCACAGGCCCAGCACUGCCUCUGCUGAGGGUAGAUUUGUUGGAUUCAUAUGCUUGUAGAAAGCAUAGAGAUACAAGUUUAGAAGGAGAAGCAGUCACAGUGGGAACAAGGAGAGAAGCGAGGAGAGAGGCCGCUUCCUUGCUGGAGCCGGAGCUCGAGGGCCUUGGUUCCCAGCGCCUCUCCCCGAGAGUUACACCUGCAUCAGCUGCUCUAGGCUCAGACCCUGCCUUGGCCGUGGACCCUCCCUGCCCUUGCACUCUCCCUCUCUCCGUGAGAUUUGUGACGGGGCCUCAGGCUGACGGCCAAGUUAGCAAGUAUUAAGAGGUGCCUGAGCAACCAGGCACAAAUGUACAGCUGCCCCCGAAGUGUGUUUCUGCAAUUCAGCCUGUCCACUGCGGCCCCUCUGCACCUGGCUGGAGCCCAGAGGAGGACCUGGGCCUGCCGACACCCUGCUCAUGCUCCGCCUGUCCUGCUCCCUCCAGGCCAGGCCGAUUGGGACCGCAGGGCAGGAGCCCGGGCACCGCUUACCGGAGGACAACGUUGCAUGCCUGGCGGUGGCCGCUGACCAAGGCCUGCUGGCCCCGCUCCCCAACAUCGUUCCCGCUCACGUCCAGGUGCCUCAGCUCCAGGUUGGUGCCCGGCACAGCCGCCAGGGCAAGGCAGCCAGCAGAGGACAUGCAGGUGGCAGCUGGGGCACGCCAGGGCCUCGCACAGAGUGGCGGCGCCGUCAUCCCCGAGGUCAUUGAGGCUGAGGUCCAGGCUUUGGAGGGCGCUGCUGCUCUCGAGAGCUGAGGCCACGUCCUGACAGCAAGCCGAGCAGUGAGACCGAGGACUCAUGUGCUGACUCUGUCUUCCACCACUUGAGGAACAGCCAAGAACGUCUUCUGAAGUGCCAGCACCUUCUCCUGCUUCUCCGGGGAAAGCUCAAAGUGUCAGUGCUUCCUCAGCAGGCAUGGGCGCGUGACCCAGAGGCCCACACCUGCAGACUCCGGCGACUUUUCCUCUCGGAGACACAUCGUCAUCGGCCUCACACUUGCCAUCCUCCUGCCUCAGCCUCCCAGAGUGCUGGGGUCACAGGCGUGCACCACCAUGCCUGGCUCCGUAUUUAAUUCUGUGCUGAACUUCCUCCCGUGACAGCCAAGUGAGACCUCCCCAGGAGGAAGGCAGCGUGACCUGGACACUGACCCUGAGCCCCCGCCCGGCUCUUGUGAUGAGCAGAUGUCGCCGUCCUGCGCAUCUGCAGGGCCCUGGGUGCCUGGGCCCCGCUAACCUGCCUCUUCAGUGGAAAUAACACCCUUUUCCUGACUGCUGUCCCCUGGCACAAGCAUGGCUCCAAUAGGCCUCUGUGGGUCACACGUGUGCCACAGACUAGAACACGAAGCAGGUGUGCUCGGCACUGCUCCCCGCACGCCGAGCCUCAAGGGGAGGCACCUGGGGACUCACACCAGCCUCUGGAGGGGCAGCGCCGCGCUUGCCAGGCUCUCCCAGAUGUGCCUCGCCCCUUCAUCCUUCAGGGCAUUGCCCGCCAGGCUCAGGUGCGUCAGCGUCCGGCUGCUCCCCAGGGAGACGGCCACGCCCGGGCAGGCCAGCUUCAUGAGCCCGCAGCUCUCCAGCCUGGGGACAGAGACUCGAGGUGAGCUGCGGACAGGUGGCCGGGUGUGGGGAUGCACGCCUGUGACCCCAGCCCUCUGGGAGGCUGAGGCAGGGGGGAUUGUAAGUUCAAGCCCAGCCUGGGCAAUUUAGCGUCUGGGGGAGAACCUGUCUCAAAAUAAACAAAAAAGGGC